rnacentral:rRNA from 1 species
AGAGUUUGAUCCUGGCUCAGGACGAACGCUGGCGGCGUGCUUAACACAUGCAAGUGGAGCGACGAACCAGGCUUCGGCCUGGGGCAGAGCCGCGAACGGGUGAGUAACACGUGGGUAACCUGCCUCGAUGACCGGGACAACCCGGGGAAACCCGGGCUAAUACCGGAUGUGCUGCCCUCACAUAAGUGAGGGUUGAAAAGGAAGCUUCGGCCUCCGCAUCGAGAUGGGCCCGCGGCCCAUUAGCUUGUUGGUGAGGUAACGGCUCACCAAGGCUGCGAUGGGUAGCUGGUCUGAGAGGACGAUCAGCCACACUGGGACUGAGACACGGCCCAGACUCCUACGGGAGGCAGCAGUGGGGAAUCUUGCGCAAUGCGCGAAAGCGUGACGCAGCAACGCCGCGUGGGGGAAGAAGGCCUUCGGGUUGUAAACCCCUUUCAGGAGGGACGAAGGUUGGGCGGUGAAUAGCCGACCCGACUGACGGUACCUCCAGAAGAAGCCCCGGCUAACUACGUGCCAGCCGCGGCGGUAAUAC